CAGCUCUGCUUUCUCUUCAAAUUGUAUAAAUCUUUCACCCCUUACUAAAGAUUUCUGUGGAGAGGAACAUUUAUGAGUUUCUGC
ensembl:snRNA U5 U5 spliceosomal RNA